GAGAAUGAACCAGCGUAUGAGGAUACAUAGAGGAAACUGACCACACUUGUUACAAUCACGACAGUGUCUAGAAUCUUAGCGUGUGUUAACUUAACUACGAUAUGACUUGAGAAAAUUGAAUUACAUUCGCGUAGCUUAAAGAUUUUUUUCUUUUCUCUUUUUUUGAACUUUCCUCCCUCUAAAAAACAAUGUCAAAGGGAUAAAUGUGUAAACGAGUAAAAUCAACGGAUGCGACUUUUGAUAGUUACUAGUUUGCUAGUCCUCGAAACAUUAAACUUUGUAAGAAAUUUUCUUUUUAU
rnacentral:lncRNA from 1 species